AAAUAUUUAAAGGAUGAAUACUCAGAAAAACAAAAAGUACCCCACUUAUCAUCAAUCUGGCCUAGACAAUACAUAAAAAGAAAAGCAGACUUUGCAUUCAAGAUGAAAUAUUCGGACCUAAUUGAUUAGACACAUAGCAAAAGGAUCAAUCUCUCAUGUUUUAGUUUAUAGCAGAAACGACUCAAAACUGAGAAACUACAAUUGAAAUUCUACAUCAAUCACUCAUUCCGUGAAUGCAUUUAUAGGUCAAUAUCAAAAGGAACCAAACAAAUCUCAAAUAAGGCUUUAAAUUCAAAUAUUGUGAUUGAUGUAAGGCUUUAAUCUCAAUCUCUCAUGUUUUAGUUUAUAGCAGAAACGACUCAAAACUGAGAAACUACAAUUGAAAUUCUACAUCAAUCAUUCAUUCCGUGAAUGCAUUUAUAGGUCAAUAUCAAAAGGAACCAAACAAAUUUCAAAUAAGGCUUUAAAUUCAAAUAUUGUGGUACAAAACGAACAAAUCUGGAAGAUGGGUGCACAUUUCUUUAUUACCAGUAUUAUUCCAAGGCUGAAGCUAGGACUAUUCUCUUCUUUC
rnacentral:lncRNA from 1 species